GACGAACGCUGGCGGCGUGCUUAACACAUGCAAGUCGAACGGAAAGGCCCUGCUUUUGUGGGGUGCUCGAGUGGCGAACGGGUGAGUAACACGUGAGUAACCUGCCCUUAGCUUUGGGAUAACUUCAGGAAACUGGGGCUAAUACCGGAUAGGAGCUCCUGCUGCAUGGUGGGGGUUGGAAAGUUUCGGCGGUUGGGGAUGGACUCGGGGCUUAUCAGCUUGUUGGUGGGGUAGUGGCUUACCAAGGCUUUGACGGGUAGCCGGCCUGGGAGGGUGACCGGCCACAUUGGGACUGAGAUACGGACCAGACUCCUACGGGAGGCAGCAGUGGGGAAUAUUGCACAGUGGGCGGAAGCCUGAUGCAGCAACGCCGCGUGCGGGAUGACGGCCUUCGGGUUGUAAACCGCUUUCGCCUGUGACGAAGCGUGAGUGACGGUAAUGGGUAAAGAAGCACCGGCUAACUACGUG
rnacentral:rRNA from 1 species